AACCUCUGGCUUCAGUCUCCCCUCCAGCUCCUGUUUUUGUAGCAGGAUAUAUGGCUUUUGUUCCACCAGAAAGAAGCUACUGAUGCCUGAUGCUGCUUUCACCCUUGUGUUCUGUAAGAAUCUGGAUUGCAAGUCACUUCACAAAUGCAUUUACAUUUCACUUAUGAAAUAGCAUGAGACCUUACGGGGCCAGUUUCUUUGAUUCAGAGGUAUGUCACAUUUUUACACACAAAGUAAUUUAGAAUUGGAUUCCCACCUCUGUGUUAAAGGUGACCAACAACCUUAACCUCCAUCAAAGUCACCUUUUUUUGAUUUGGUUUCCAUCUCUACAAAACCUGACCUUUCUGUGUCCGAGGAGUAAAAACUGAUAGAAAACAUUGGAAAGUUCGGUCAGUGGUUUGUUGUAGUACAGUGUGUCAGAUUUAACGCACGCCCAGUGCUUUGUUUGUUUAUAAAACUAUAUUGAGUAAAUAUGUAUUCUGUGUGUAAAUGUUGGCAGCCUGCCAUUCCGCUGGCUCUCCACCUCUGCCUUAAAGUGCUAUAUAAAAUACACAGUAACAGUUUCACGUGACAGAACAGCCUUAAAGGCAGUCUGUAGAUAAAAAGAAGUUGAGGACUGAGUCUCUACUGAGAGACUGGGAUUGUCGCUUAAUAAGUCAAAAGCACUUAAUGCUCCUGAUUGCUAUUCUCCGAGUUAUAUUAAGUCGUAUGGUAAUUAUAUUAAGAGUUACCUUGUCAUUAUUUCCUGUGAAACAAUGGGAAACCCUUUGAUGACUGUCAUGUGACAGCUGGGUUCUGCUAUGAAGUGACUUUGGGGGCGGAAGUCAUAAUAGUGUGCACUUUAGGCGAAGCCACAGACCCCUUUAAAGAUGCCCUUCCUGACACUUGCUUCCUUAAAAAUCCCUGUUCAUCUACAGUCUCAUCUCUCUGCAGAAAUUUUGACCUGAAUUGUCACCAAGUUUUAAUUAGUCUAUGGUUUAGGAUGUACAGGCUAUACAAGAAAAAAAAUUAAAGUUGUUGGAGGUAUGUCAAAGAGGUCUGUAUAUGACAAUAUUUACAGAUUAAGAUGUUGGGCUCUUUAAUGCAGUUUUUGUUUUCUGUAUUAGGCAAAUAAUACUAAUUUUUAUAUGUGGAUUUUGACUGUGGGGGUUUGUCUCUAUAAUUUGUCUUAAUGUUGAAAUAACUUGACUAUCCAAAGCUUCUAGUAUAUGUCAGGUAUGUGUGUAUGUCUAUAUAAUAUAUAUUAUAUAUUCUCUAUAUAUAGAUGUAUCAGCUGAAGGUCAGAGUUCCCACUUGUGUUGAAAUUCUGUGGAACUGACCAGUACAGCUGAGUGACAUGAAUAGUUUGCUUGUUUACGGGGGAGGGUUAUUACAGUCAAUUGUUCUCUUCACCAAAUGAGCGUCUUGUUUUCUUAUUAAAUGCUAUCUCAGAUUUUAUUUUUAGAUGAUUUUUCAACCUUAAAUUCAUUCUAUUCACCAAUUACUGUGAAUUGUGUUUCUAUUUAUUUUCCUUGGCUAAUUUAACUUUAUUCAUUACUUUCUAAAUUUUUCUAUGGCAACGUUUAGAACUAUUGUAUUGCUUUAAAAAAAAGUCAAAUCAUUGUAAAUCAUAUAUGCUUCUGUUUAUGAUAAGAGAAUAAUGAGAUUAAAAAGUGUAUAUUGGUAAAGAAGUAA
rnacentral:lncRNA from 1 species